UACGUAGGGUGCGAGCGUUGUCCGGAAUUACUGGGCGUAAAGAGCUCGUAGGCGGUUUGUCGCGUCGAAUGUGAAAACCCGGGGCUCAACCCCGGGCCUGCAUUCGAUACGGGCAGACUAGAGUUCGGUAGGGGAGUCUGGAAUUCCUGGUGUAGCGGUGAAAUGCGCAGAUAUCAGGAGGAACACCGGUGGCGAAGGCGGGACUCUGGGCCGAUACUGACGCUGAGACACGAAAGCGUGGGUAGCAAACAGG
rnacentral:rRNA from 1 species